rnacentral:rRNA from 1 species
UACAGAGGUCUCAAGCGUUGUUUGGAUUCAUUGGGCGUAAAGGGUGCGUAGGUGGCGCGGUAAGUCGGGUGUGAAAUCUCGGAGCUUAACUCCGAAAUUGCAUUCGAUACUGCCGUGCUUGAGGACUGGAGAGGAGACUGGAAUUCAUGGUGUAGCAGUGAAAUGCGUAGAGAUCAUGAGGAAGACCAGUGGCGAAGGCGGGUCUCUGGACAGUUCCUGACACUGAGGCACGAAGGCCAGGGGAGCAAACGGG